AGUGAACGCUGGCGGUAGGCCUAACACAUGCAAGUCGAACGGCAGCACAGUAAGAGCUUGCUCUUACGGGUGGCGAGUGGCGGACGGGUGAGGAAUACAUCGGAAUCUACUUUUUCGUGGGGGAUAACGUAGGGAAACUUACGCUAAUACCGCAUACGACCUACGGGUGAAAGCAGGGGAUCUUCGGACCUUGCGCGAUUGAAUGAGCCGAUGUCGGAUUAGCUAGUUGGCGGGGUAAAGGCCCACCAAGGCGACGAUCCGUAGCUGGUCUGAGAGGAUGAUCAGCCACACUGGAGCUGAGACACGGUCCAGACUCCUACGGGAGGCAGCAGUGGGGAAUAUUGGACAAUGGGCGCAAGCCUGAUCCAGCCAUACCGCGUGGGUGAAGAAGGCCUUCGGGUUGUAAAGCCCUUUUGUUGGGAAAGAAAGGCAGCAGGUUAAUACCCCGCUGUUCUGACGGUACCCAAAGAAUAAGCACCGGCUAACUUCGUG
rnacentral:rRNA from 1 species